AGGAGGCUGGUUGCUGGUGGUUCCCGUCGGCUGGCGCUGCAGCCUGGCUUAGAAGUCUGGCCUGUCUUUCUUCAGCUUCUUGUAGUCAGUGGAAACUGCAAGGAACUGUGGAGAGAAAGGGGGUCGCACUGAGCCCCGGGCUUCCCUCUGCUGGGGUGGGAGGUGCCCAGCUGGGAUCAAGAGGCCGCGGUCGGAGGUGCAACCCGAAGGCCGCUGGGAGCCCAGGAGACCACUUCUGCCUCUGACUGUGAUGGAGAGAAAGAGAAUGGAGUGCAGGAAACCGGAAGAAAGAGAGAAAAGAUGUUGGAAGAGGAAAGAGAACACAGACAGAAGCUGGACUGACUGCGUCCCGCUGCAUGAUCAACUCGGCGCGUGCUGUGCCAUCAGAGGCCUUGCCGAGCGGACGCGUCUAUCUCCCCGCCUCGCGCCAGCCUCAGCCCAGUUUUUACCCUCAUCUUCCCCGAGACCUGGAGCGGCUUGGUAAGAAGGUCUGAGACACCACUUCUCCAGCUUCUCCUUACUCUUGAACACAAAAAGGUCCUCCUUUGACUCCCCACUGACCCUAAGCUGGCCUUUCUCACCAUCCUGGACUGGGAACGCAGAGCCGGAGGCUUAAGCUCUUCCCGUGGGGACUCAGCAGCCCAUCACUCACCAACGUC